GACGAACGCUGGCGGCGUGCGUAAUGAAUGCGAGUCGAACGAGAAACAGGAACUGAUCUCUUCGGAGUGAUGUUCCUGUAGAAAGUGGCGAACGGGUGAGUAACAUGUGGGUAACCUGCCUCUAAGUCAGGGAUAACACAGGGAAACUUGUGCUAAUACCUGAUAGUCUACCGACACAGAUGUGUCGGCUAGUAAAGGGAUUCGUCCCGCUCAGAGAUGGGCCCGCAGCUCAUUAGCUUGUUGGUGAGGUAACGGCUCACCAAGGCGACGAUGGGUAGCCGGUCUGAGAGGAUGGUCGGCCACACUGGGACUGAGACAUGGUCCAGACUCCUACGGGAGUUAGCAUCAGGGAAUCUUGCGCAAUGGGCGAAAGCCUGACGCAGCGACGCCGCGUGUGUGAUGAAGGCCUGUGGGUCGUAAAGCACUGUCAGAAGGGAAGAAUGCCACGCCUCUGGCGUGGAGAGACUGUACCUUCAGAGGAAGCCCCGGCUAACUACGCGCCAGCAGCCGCGGUAAAACGUAGGGGGCAAGCGUUGUCCGGAAUUACUGGGCGUAAAGAGUGCGUAGGCGGUCUGGUUAGCGGAGGGUGAAAGCCCGAGGCUCAACCUCGGAACGGCUUUCCGAACUGCCAGACUAGAGUAUGGGAGAGGGUAGUGGAAUUCCUGGUGUAGCGGUGGAAUGCGUAAAUAUCAGGAGGAACACCGGUGGCGAAGGCUGCUACCUGGAACAUUACUGACGCUAAGGCACGAAAGCUAGGGUAGCGAACGGGAUUAGAUACCCCGGUAGUCCUAGCCGUAAACGAUGGACACUAGGUGUUGGAGGUAUCGACCCCUCCAGUGCUGUUCUGCUAACGCGUUAAGUGUCCCGCCUGGGGAGUACGGUCGCAAGGCUAAAACUCAAAGGAAUUGACGGGGGCCCGCACAAGCGGUGGAGCAUGUUGGUCAAUUGGAUGAUACGCCAAGAACCUUACCAGGGCUUGACAUGUUUCUGUAAGCCGGUGAAAGCCGGCCCUCUACUUCGGUAGACAGAAUCACAGGUGGUGCAUGGUUGUCGACAGCUCGUGUCGUGAGAUGUUGGGUUAAGUCCCGCAACGAGCGCAACCCUCGCCGAAUGUUGCCAGCGGAUAAUGCCGGGAACUCUUUCGGGACUGCCUGAGUAAUCAGGAGGAAGGGGGGGAUGACGUCAAAUCGGCAUGCCCCUUAUGCUCUGGGCUGCAAACGUGCUACAAUGGUCGGUACAGAGGGACGCAAGACCGCGAGGUGGAGCUAAUCCUAAAAGCCGGCCCCAGUUCGGAUUGGGUGUCUGCAACUCGACCCCAUGAAGGUGGAAUCGCUAGUAACCGCGAAUCAGCAAUGUCGCGGUGAAUACGUUCCCGGGCCUUGUACACACCGCCCGUCAAA
rnacentral:rRNA from 1 species